GCUGCAUGGCUGUCGUCAGCUCGUGUCGUGAGAUGUUCGGUUAAGUCCGGCAACGAGCGCAACCCACAUCUUUAGUUGCCAGCAGUUCGGCUGGGCACUCUAGAGAAACUGCCCGUGAUAAGCGGGAGGAAGGUGUGGAUGACGUCAAGUCCUCAUGGCCCUUACGGGUUGGGCUACACACGUGCUACAAUGGCGGUGACAGUGGGACGCGAAACCGCGAGGUCGAGCAAAUCCCCAAAAACCGUCUCAGUUCAGAUUGCACUCUGCAACUCGAGUGCAUGAAGGCGGAAUCGCUAGUAAUCGUGGAUCAGCAUGCCACGGUGAAUACGUUCCCGGGCCUUGUACACACCGCC
rnacentral:rRNA from 1 species